rnacentral:rRNA from 1 species
UACGUAGGGUGCGAGCGUUGUCCGGAAUUAUUGGGCGUAAAGAGCUCGUAGGCGGUCUGUCGCGUCGGUCGUGAAAACUUGGGGCUUAACCCUGAGCUUGCGGUCGAUACGGGCAUGACUGGAGUUCGGCAGGGGAGACUGGAAUUCCUGGUGUAGCGGUGAAAUGCGCAGAUAUCAGGAGGAACACCGGUGGCGAAGGCGGGUCUCUGGGCCGAUACUGACGCUGAGGCACGAAGGCCAGGGGAGCAAACGGG